UUUCAGCACCAGAAAAAACUCAAUGGUAUGUGCCUAAUACAGCUUGUUGGACUAAACAAUUCUUUGAUGUCCAUAGUGUGUCCUUGUGCUUUGUGGGAUGUUUACUCUGGGGAGCCAAGCAGUUUUUUGGUAAUUGAUCUUUGGCUCUUUUUUUUUUGAGACAGGGUCUCGCUCUGUCACUCAGGCUGGAGUGCAGUGGUGUGAUCCCAGCUCAUUGCAACCUCUGCCUCCCAGGUUCAAGCGAUUCUCCUGCCUCAGCCUCUCGAGUAGCUGGGACUACAGGCGCCCACCACCAUGCCUGGCUAAUUUUUAUAUUUUUAAUAGAGACGGUGUUUCACCAUAUUGGCCAGGCUGGUCUCAAACUCCUGACCUUGUGAUCUGCCCGCCUUGGCCUCCCAAAGUGCUGGGAUUACAGGUGUGAGCCACCCGCCUGGCCGAUCUUUGGCUCUCUUUCUAGAAAUUAAACACAUUUUCUUUUUUACAUUCUUUUUUUUUUUCUUUUCCUGGAAAUGAAAUCUUGCUGUGUUGCCCGGGGUGGAGUAUAGUGGGUGGUCUCGGCUCACUGCAACCUCCACCUUCCAGGUUCAAGCAAUUCUCCUGCUUCAUCCUCUUGAGUAGCUGGGAUUCCAGGUGUGCACCACCAUGCCCAGCUAACUUUUUGUAUUUUUAGUAGAGACGGGGUUUCACUAUGUUGGCCAGGCUGGUCUUGAACUCCUGACCUCAGAUGACCCAUGUGCCUCAGCCUCCCAAAGUGCUGCACCGCUCCUGGCCCUUCUUUUUUUACAUCCUUAAAAGUGUUAUUAGCUUCAGAAGUCUUCUCUCCUCUGGAAUUCUCCUACCAUUUAUUUAUUUAUUUAUUUUUGCUUUUUUCUUUUCAUGAGAGUUUUACCAAUAUCUACUUCACAUCACAUACCAUAAAAUUCACCCUUUUAAAGUUUACAAUUUAAUGGUUUUUAGUAUAUUCAUAGAGUUAUGUAACCAUUACCACUAUCCAAUUUCAGCACAUUUCCAUUGUCCCUUAGGGAAACCCCAUACCCAUUUGCUGUCACUCCCCAUUGCUCCCUGCCCCCAGCCUCUGUCAACCACUAAUCUACUUUCUGUUUCUACAGAUUUGCUUAUUUUGGACAUUCCAUAUAAAUGGAAUGUCCGUUUGAGCCAUGUGUCUGACUUCUUUCACCUAGCAUAAUAUUCUGAAGGUUUACCUGUGUUAACAGUACUUCCACAUUCAGUUUUUCUGGUCACUGAAUUUCUCUCCAUAUCUUAUUAGUUAGUUUUUUUCUUUUUGAGUCGGAGUGUUGCUCUGUCGCCCAGGAUGGAGUGCAGUUGCACGAUCUUGGCUCAAUUGCAACCUCUGCCUCCUGGAUUCAAGUGAUUCUCCUGCUUCAGCUUCCUGAGUAGCUGGGAUUACAGGUACGCGACACCACACCCAGCUAAUUUUUGUAUUUUUAGUAUGGGGUUUCACCAUGUUGGCCAGGCUGGUCUUGAGCUCCUGACCUCAAGUGAUCCGCCCACCUCAGCCUCCCAAAGUGCUGGGAUUACAGGCGUGAGCCACCAUGCCUGGCCAGUAGUUAGUUCUUUUCCAACUUUUUAGCAGGUGGCUCAUUUCUUUUUAAAGACUCAGUUCUUGGCCCAGCCCAUCGACAUCCUACUUCCCUUGAUUACAGAGGCACGGCACUUCAUAGAACUCUAGCAAUCCUCAGCAUUAUCUUCCCACAGUGCCCUGCUAUUGUUUUCUCUUAUGAUUGUUGCCUAAAGUUUCAACGCUACUGAAAUGGCUAUGUACAACUUUCAUCAUUUUAGAGCAUCUAAGAAUGUCAAUUAACAAUUUAAGGCAAUAAUUUAAUCUUGUUUUCUGAGGAAAUCUUCCUAGAAUUUUUGGCUGCCAUUUCAGAACUUUCCCAAGGGUCCUUUCAAACCAGUAGAAAACUAUAUAAUCCUUUGGCUAUACUUUUACUAUAUAGUAGCUCCCCAUACUUUUUUUUUUUAAUAGAGACUAUGUUGCCCAGGUUGGACUUGAACUCUUGGGCUUAAACAAUCCUACCUACCUACCUACCUCAGGGUCCUGAGUAGCUGAGACUACAGGUGCAUGCCGUCAUGCCCAGCUUCUCCACAUAACUAUUUUUUACUCUUUAGGGUAUUAAGAGACCAGCCCCGCAGCCUGCUUCAGGGGCAAACAUCCCCAAAGAAUCUGAGUUCUGCAGUAGCAGUAAUACUAGAAAUGGUGACUAUCUGGAUGUUGGCAUUGGGCAGGUGUCUGUGAAAUACCCCCGGCUCAUCUAUAAACCAGAGAUAUUCUUUGCCUUUGGAUCUCCCAUUGGAAUGUUCCUUACUGUCCGAGGACUAAAAAGAAUUGAUCCCAACUACAGAUUUCCAACGUGCAAAGGUUUCUUCAAUAUUUAUCACCCUUUUGAUCCUGUGGCCUAUAGGAUUGAACCAAUGGUGGUCCCAGGAGUGGAAUUUGAGCCAAUGCUGAUCCCACAUCAUAAAGGCAGGAAGCGGAUGCACUUAGAACUGAGAGAGGGCUUGACCAGGAUGAGUAUGGACCUUAAGAACAACUUGCUAGGUUCGCUGCGGAUGGCCUGGAAGUCUUUUACCAGAGCUCCAUACCCUGCCUUACAAGCUUCAGAAACACCAGAAGAAACUGAAGCAGAACCUGAAUCAACUUCAGAGAAGCCUAGUGAUGUUAACACAGAAGAGACCUCUGUGGCAGUUAAAGAAGUCCUGCCUAUCAAUGUGGGGAUGCUGAAUGGAGGCCAACGCAUUGACUAUGUGCUACAGGAGAAGCCUAUUGAAAGUUUUAAUGAGUAUUUAUUUGCUUUACAAAGCCAUCUAUGCUACUGGGAGUCUGAAGAUACAGUAUUGCUGGUCCUCAAAGAGAUCUACCAAACCCAGGGUAUCUUCCUUGAUCAGCCUUUACAGUAAAAAUGACCCAUCUAUGGCUGCUUAAUACGGACAUUGAGGGAUCCUUCCCCAGAAAAUCCACCUGUUUGUUGCUGCAAUUUUCCUCUCCUCAGCUGCGUCAUUUCCUGCAUGUUGCCUGCCACUUACUCACCACUGGGGUCUUUGGAAGAUAAUCUUCCUCUUUGGAAAUGAAUGGAAAAGCAAAAGGCCCUAUUACUUUUAACCACUGGCUUCAUAUAAACACUUGCCAUUUUUUCUGC
rnacentral:sRNA from 1 species